rnacentral:rRNA from 1 species
AUGGAGCUACGUACCACGUACACAAGCACCGAUAUCGAUCCACGCGAGGCGAGACGCAAAGCAGCAGUCUUGUCCAUCUUCGUCGUUGGGAGCAGUCUUGUCUUGUCCAUCUCCAUGGGAGCAGUCCUGUCCAUCUCCGUCGUUGACGCGCUAACCAGGGCGACGACCAGCUGGAACUACGCGCGGGCGCGGCGGAGAUCAAUUGCUCCCCAUGGCGCUGCCGAUUGGCCUGGCCUGCCAGAGGACCUCUUGCUGACCGUCAUGGCGGCGCUGGACGUCCCCAGCAUCAUCCGGUCCGGCGCCGUGUGCACGUCCUGGCACUCCGCCUACAAGGCCUUCCGAGGCCUCCACCGCCUCCCGCCGAAGCAGGCCCCUUGCCUGCUCUACGCCUGCGACGAGUACGGGCCCGACGCCGCCGCCCUGUACUGCCCCUCCACCAACGCAACGUUCCGCAUCCCCUUCCCACAGCCCCCAGACAAGAGCCGGAGAUUCGCCUUCUCCUGUCAGGGUUGGGUGUUCGCCGCCGACGAGGCCGGUGACCCGUACCUCGUCAACCCUACCACGGGCUCCCGGGCCGCGCUCCCGCCGUUCGAGACGAUCUACCACGGGGAGAGCCACUAUGAUCGCGACCGCAAGAACGCUCUGAAAGCUCGACUGGAGAACCGAGUCUUCCGGCCGACAGUUAGCUGGGCAUGGCACUCGGGGUAUCACCGGGUCGCCAUUUCCGCCGCCGCCGAGGUGGCCGCAUGCACCGUCUUAAUCGUGCACACGCCAGACCAGUGGAGGCUCUCGUUCGCUAGGCCGGGUGACAAGCGCUGGACAUUCUUGUGUGAAGAAGAGUUUCAGGACGUUCUCUACAAUGACAAGGACGGCUUGUUCUACGCCCUAGGCCUUGAUAGUUCUGUUUCUACUAUAGAUCUCGCCGGGCCUUCGCCGACGGUGACCAUGAUCAUGCGUGGCGUGUCAGGUUGGUGCGACCCUACCAAGUAUCUCGCAUUCACGCCAUCUGGUGAGCUCCAGCAAGUAUGGAGAAUCUGGAGCCACCCACAUUUUUCAGUAAAAUUCAUGGUCGACGCAGAUGCCGUAGAUUUUGCCAACGAAUAUGGGGACGCCCACAAUCUCAAUGAGCCAGAUGCAAAUGAUGAUGAUGAGCAAAAGACCAGUGAGGUCACAACAAUCAAGCUCCUGAUUUUCAAGGUGGACAUUGGCAGACAGAAACUGGUGGAGCUACGGGACAUUGGAGACCACGCGCUAUUCCUUGGGUACAACACUGCUAUGUAUUUUUCGACCAAGGACUUUCCGGUGUUCAAACCAAACUGUGCUUACCUUACACACGACUGUUUUGACUUCAAGCCAACAUUACCAACAGACACGGGUAUUUGGGACGUCAACAAGGGGAGUAUGCAGAAACUUCAGGAUGCAUGGCCAUACAUGUAUUCUUGGCUAGAUUUACCCGCCCCGAUUUGGAUCACACCAAGGUUUUAG